UACGGAGGGUGCAAGCGUUAUCCGGAUUCACUGGGUUUAAAGGGUGCGCAGGUGGGCAGGUAAGUCCGUGGUGAAAUCCCCGAGCUUAACUCGGGAACUGCCAUGGAUACUAUUUGUCUUGAAUAUUGUGGAGGUAAGCGGAAUAUGUCAUGUAGCGGUGAAAUGCUUAGAUAUGACAUAGAACACCAAUUGCGAAGGCAGCUUACUACACAGUUAUUGACGCUGAGGCACGAAAGCGUGGGGAUCAAACAGG
rnacentral:rRNA from 1 species